rnacentral:rRNA from 1 species
GACGAACGCUGGCGGCGCGCCUAAUACAUGCAAGUCGAACGAGCGAGAGAGAGCUUGCUUUCUCGAGCGAGUGGCGAGCGGGUGAGUAACGCGUGAGGAACCUGCCUCAAAGAGGGGGACAACAGUUGGAAACGACUGCUAAUACCGCAUAAGCCCACGGCUCGGCAUCGAGCAGGGGGAAAAGGAGCAAUCCGCUUUGAGAUGGCCUCGCGUCCGAUUAGCUAGUUGGUGAGGUAACGGCCCACCAAGGCGACGAUCGGUAGCCGGACUGAGAGGUUGAACGGCCACAUUGGGACUGAGACACGGCCCAGACUCCUACGGGAGGCAGCAGUGGGGAAUAUUGCACAAUGGGGGAAACCCUGAUGCAGCGACGCCGCGUGGAGGAAGAAGGUCUUCGGAUUGUAAACUCCUGUUGUUGGGGAAGAUAAUGACGGUACCCAACAAGGAAGUGACGGCUAACUACGUG